rnacentral:lncRNA from 1 species
UUGCAUUUACACAAAGCCUGCAACUCUUUAGAGAUCAGUGGAGAGAGAAAAGUCACCAAAAUGAAAGGAAACCCAACAACUUCUGCAAAUUUUGAGGCUAUGCCCAACAACUUCUGCAAAUUUUGAGGCUAUGUUUAAGAUCUGGAUUUAAAGGGAAUGGCCCUGAUCACAAUUUGGUGGUAAACAGCAGCAAGAGCAGCUCCAAUGAAGGGACCCACCCAGAAAAUCCACUGCAAAACAUUUGUAAUCAUGGUUUUAGAGAGAGAAAAUAGAAGGUAGACCUUUACCAAAAAAAAAAGAAAGAAAGAAGAUAGACUGGUUAGAGGAGAGACAGAUGAUGAAAGAGAGUGGAUUAGAUGGUCUGAUUAGAGAGAUAAAGCCUUUGAGUCUUCGACAGAUGAUGAGAGAGUGGAUUAGAGACAGAAAGUAAAGACUGGUGGACAAACAAAAUAGAGCAGUCGAGAGAGAUUAGAAAGAGCAAAAGUAGAGAGAGAAAGAGAGUAAAGUCUGAAAGUGAAAUCGAAUAAAGAGUACUCAGACUAUCAGAGUAAGAAUUGAGCAAAGAUUAGUAGAGAGAAAUGAGGGGAGAGACCUGUAGAGAGAGAAAGAGGUAGAGUGAAAACAGAGUAGAGAGAGAAAAUAUAGUAGAGAGAGAAGAAACAUACAUGGUCGUCCCAGGCUUGGUCUCG